rnacentral:lncRNA from 1 species
AAAACCUGGAGUGGGGGUCUGGAGCGGAGGCCAUUGUCAGCAAAGGCAGCAACAGAGGUAGAUCCAGAGACUGGCAAACACUCAACAAGCAGAGAGGGAAAGACUGCCACCAAUGAUGAACUCAGGAAUAACUGUGAUCUUCUGUGAUCAGCUCUGAGUUCUCCACUUCACAGACCAAGCAACAUCCUUGAAUCUAGGAAACAUGAUUGGGACAUUGUUUCUCUUCUCUCUGGACCAUCUUCCUGGCUCUGAUCUUCAUUCUAGAGUUGUUCUUUCUUCAUUUUCAAAGAUUUUUCAAUGCAGAGAAAAUCCAAAGUCCUUACCAGAGCCUGUAGCUUCCAUGUGAUCUGGGCCCUUGCUGUUCCUCUGACUUCCCCUCUGUGGCCUUUCUCUUUUCUGAGCCUGCUCCAGGCACAACGGCCUCCUUGUUCUUCUCCCAUA